rnacentral:rRNA from 1 species
UACGUAGGGGGCUAGCGUUAUCCGGAAUUAUUGGGCGUAAAGAGCUCGUAGGCGGUUUGUCGCGUCUGCCGUGAAAGUCCGGGGCUCAACUCCGGAUCUGCGGUGGGUACGGGCAGACUAGAGUGAUGUAGGGGAGACUGGAAUUCCUGGUGUAGCGGUGAAAUGCGCAGAUAUCAGGAGAAACACCGAUGGCGAAGGCAGGUCUCUGGGCAUUAACUGACGCUGAGGAGCGAAAGCAUGGGGAGCGAACAGG